rnacentral:rRNA from 1 species
UGAACCUACGGGACGCAGCAGUGAGGAAUAUUGGUCAAUGGACGCAAGUCUGAACCAGCCAUGCCGCGUGCAGGAAGACGGCUCUAUGAGUUGUAAACUGCUUUUGUACGAGGGUAAACGCAGAUACGUGUAUCUGUCUGAAAGUAUCGUACGAAUAAGGAUCGGCUAACUCCGUGCCAGCAGCCGCGGUAAUACGGAGGAUGCGAGCGUUAUCCGGAUUUAUUGGGUUCAAAGGGUGCGUAGGCGGAAUGCCAAGUCAGCGGUAAAAUCGCGGGGCUCAACCUCGCUCCGCCGUUGAAACUGGC